rnacentral:rRNA from 1 species
CUCUGUGACUCCUACGGGAGGCAGCAGUGGGAAUAUUGCACAAUGGGCGCAAGCCUGAUGCAGCCAUGCCGCGUGUAUGAAGAAGGCCUUCGGGUUGUAAAGUACUUUCAGCAGUGAGGAAGGCGAGUACGUUAAUAGCGUGCUCGUUUGACGUUAGCUGCAGAAGAAGCACCGGCUAACUCCGUGCCAGCAGCCGCGGUAAUACGGAGGGUGCGAGCGUUAAUCGGAAUUACUGGGCGUAAAGCGCAUGCAGGUGGUUUGUUAAGUCAGAUGUGAAAGCCCCGGGGCUCAACCUCGGAAUUGCAUUUGAAACUGGCAGACUAGAGUACUGUAGAGGGGGUAGAAUUUCAGGUGUAGCGGUGAAAUGCGUAGAGAUCUGAAGGAAUACCGGUGGCGAAGGCGGCCCCCUGGACAGAUACUGACACUCAGAUGCGAAAGCGUGGGGAGCAAACAGGAUUAGAUACCCGUGGUAG